UACUUAUGGCAGAUCCUAAUAUGAGAGCGUACGAGUAUAUACCCGAAACAUUCAAGCGUUGACUGUUGUUAAAAGUACUUCAUUUAAGUUGUCAUGUGAAUUUCAAAUGCACAGAAAUAAAAUUUCAAAAAAUAUUUACUUUCAAUUUCUUUUAAUUCUCUAAUCUGAUUUGUUUCUUGUUUUAAGUUUGAUAAAUUACCAUCUAGCAUUAACUUUUUAGUUUUCUCAGACCAUCUGAUCAAAAUUGAACCGGACUCAUCCAUAUAAACUGCGUGUGCAAAGCUAAUUGAUAAAAUUCUUCGAUGUUCGUGUGAAGUUUAGUUUCCGUAUGUCCAUUAGUGUGUGUUUAACAGCUGUUUGUUUGCGAAGCGAAAAAUUGGUCUGGUGAUUUUUACCACGGAAAAAAAAAUUGAACAACAAAACUCGCUUAAAAUGCGAUAAUUGUGUUUUUCCAAUGGAAUCACAGCUGCGGAAGCAUUGCAAAUUGUAGCAGUGUUUUAAGGAGUCUACUUUAUCACAAACACAAGUUUUUGAGUGGCACAAAGCAUUCAGUGACGGUCGUGAAGGCAACAAAAACUUGCCUCAUGCGAAUCGGCCAUCCAUUUGUGAUACUUGAAAAUCGUCGCGUUGUCAUUUGAGAUAUACCAUAGUAAGGGGUCUCAACUUCUCUUAUGGAUAGAGUAGAGGUCGCAAAAGUGUUGCUUGUUAACGUAGCUAAAGCUCACACAUUUAUUGAAUGCAUCAUUACUAGUGACGAAACCCACAUUGUUUGAUAUAAAUAACAUUCAAGUCGAAUAAGGAUUACCCAAUAAUGAAAAAGGAGAUUUUAUGAAGAUGAUAUGUUCGAUCAGUUUGUAUGGAAAUUUCUGCGGUUAUUGUACUGUUGCUUUAAGUAGUAAUUCGUGCUAAAUUUCGUGGAGAUAUCUUGUCAAAUAAAAAUUUUUUUCAUACAAGGACUUGGUUUUGAGCGAUCAGUUUGUAUGGCAGCUAUAUCCUACAGUGGUCCAAUAUCCGCAAUACCGACAAUUGAGCAGCUUAAUGAAGAGAAAAGGGCGUGUGCAAAAUUUCAAAGCGAUAUCUCAAAAGCUUAAGAACCAGUUCGCAUAUAGAGAAUCCGGUUAUUCGACUUAUCUUUAAAUACCAUAUAUAUCAUAACUCUAAAAAUCACCACAACAAAGUUAUAAUACCCUGAACAACAUUUCGGAAUAUUGCUGUGGCAUCACUAUGUUAAAGCGCUAAGCGUUGUAACCAAGAAAUACCACUGGUGGUGGCAAGUUGCACAAACACUUGCGAAGUCAUUUCCCCACGGAUUGAUGCACGAGCAGAUAGCGACUAAAAAAAUAUAUGGGGAUCAACUAGCAUGAUUUGGGUGACAUGAUUAUAUAUAAUCUACUAAAAUUCUAAAUCGAGAUCUCAAAUAGUUUUUGAGUGACAGCCUUCUAAAGUGUAGCCGCUCAGUUCAAGCAGCUUUCAGUUCAGUUUACUUUUAAACGCGUUUUUCUCAAAAUCAAAAAUUCCAAAUUUGCUUGUGUGAUUACUCAGAGUUAUUUCUUCAUAGGAUGACCUACCAGUUUUUUGAUCUGAUCAAAAAUCAAAUUUUGGCAUGCUGAAAACGAUUAAAAUUUUGGGUUAAAUUAAGAUUUUUUUAAAACGCUUAUCGACCGUAAGUCCAUACAACGACAAUGUUUUCUUGUCGAAAAUUUUGUUUUAGGUUUCAUCCAAGGAGAAGGACGGAAUUAAUGCAGCAGUGGAGGAUUUUUGCUAUUGGCGCCAACGAAGAUCGUGUGUAACUCGAAAAAUAUUUAAUUUUUAUCUUCAAAAA